rnacentral:piRNA from 1 species
AUUUCUCGGUGCCAAGCAUGU